UACGAAGGGGGCUAGCGCUGUUCGGAAUCACUGGGCGUAAAGCGCACGCAGGCGGAUCGAUAAGUCGGGGGUGAAAGCCCGGGGCUCAACCUCGGAAUUGCCUUCGAUACUGUCGGUCUCGAGUCCGGGAGAGGUGAGUGGAAUUCCUAGUGUAGAGGUGAAAUUCGUAGAGAUUAGGAAGAACACCAGUGGCGAAGGCGGCUCACUGGCCCGGUACUGACGAUCAUGUGCGAAAGCGUGGGGAGCAAACAGG
rnacentral:rRNA from 1 species